UGAGAACACAUGGACACAGGAAGGGGAA
rnacentral:piRNA from 1 species